UGUGCGUGUGUGUGUGAGGCAUUUUCAUUUAUUAAACAUAUGAAUUUUUAGCUCAUGUAUCAGUGGUUAUUUUAAUUGUGUAAUAACCACUGAUACAAAUUCAUAUGUUUAAUAAAUGAAAAUGACUUAACAUAUGUACACACACAUACAUGGAGAGGUGCAAGGGGGGCCUUCGGCCCUCCUCCCGUACCCUCCCCGUCCUCGUUGCGCGUGGGAAGUUGUAAACCAGUGAUGUCAGAUGCAAUAUAUUGCGACGCUACAACGCAUGCGUGAGAUGACGUAGGAGCUCUAUGCUAAUAACGGCAAUAAAGCUUAUCGCAGGGUCCAUGAAGGGGCCCGCGCUAUCCGAUCAGGGUACCUAUUAUGGAACUCGUCGGAAUCGAUUCCGAUCGGAAUAAUUUCCCCUAGAAAAGACAAUAGAAAUCUAGGAAAUAACGGAAUAAAUUUGAUCGAAAUCGAUUCCGACGAGUUCCAUAAUAGGUACCCAGCUGUCUUCCAGGUUGCAACGUAGUUUUCUCGUGUUUCUUGCGCGAGUGCCUUAUCUUAGGUUAUAUUGUUCGGUCGAUACUAAAUAUCAGUUACAUUAACGUUAUAAUUCCAAUGGAUACUAAGUAACAAUGGACAUGUAUAGAUUGGCAAAAGCGUUCAAAAACCAUUGCGUUAUCAAACGUCAUCUGAUGAGGAACCAAAGCACAAGAGGAAUACUACAUUGAUCGCACCUUCUACCACCUGGGAUAAUCAACACGGACAUCAAUGACAUCGAGAGGAUGCUGCAACAAAAUGAGAAGACAACAUAUUUUAAUAUCCAUCCAGAAUUAACACAAACAUCACAUAAAGAAAUAUGCACACAUGGAAACACAUACAAACAUUUCUCUUGACAAGGGAUAUACUUCACAUAUACAGACACACACAAAUAUAGGAUAUACUGCACACAAACACAUAACACACACACAUCUAUGUGAAGCUAGCCCCUUAUUAUCAAAAUUUGAAAAAAAUGAUUAGAGUUCUAGUUGCCCCCCAAAGAGUUCUAGAGUUCUCAAUCACACAAAUAUUGAAUUCUCUCUAAAUAUACAGACCAAUAAUAAUUAAUAAUAUAAGUUUUACAUUGCGCACAGAUUAUGAUAAAACAUAUUAUACUAAUGACGCUUUAUCUCAGUUCCAAGACUUGACACCAAUUAUGACGAUGCAAGAUGCACACCAUCAACAUCAAUAUCAACAUGAUUAUGCCAUCUAUGAGACUAUGCCAUCACAAGAGACCUCAGUAUAGGAAGAUAUUACAUAUAAAAGCCCAGCAAACUAUACAGAACUCAUGGAACAAUGAGUCAGAAGAGGACGACAUUGAGGAUACGAACGACGAGUAAGAAUAGUAUUGCGAUGGAUAUGUAAUGGACCAAGGAACAAGAUUCAAUGUAUCACUUUGACUUAAGUCACCCAGAGAAUGGAGAAGCAGAAGAAAAAGAAACAAGAUGAGGAAGAGGAAAAGACAGGAAAGAAAGGAGGAAUAUGUGGAGGAGAGAGAAUAUGGAGAAAGAGUGAUUGUAAAAUAAGGAGGAAAAAUCUGUGUAGUUUCUGUCUGUCGACAGACGAAUUUUCAGACUUUUCAGUGCCACAUUUUCUUAAUGUGUCAAACGUUGAUCAACUUAUCGUAUUAGCAAUGUGCAAUCGGUGCUUCUUAGCCACAUCAACUGCAAUGAACACUUACACUCGAGAUUAAUUUCCAAAUUUUCUUGAAUGUUGCAGAAACGUUUUCGAGUUCUGUAUGGAGCAGAUUUUCUCUUCAAUAACUCUCAUCGAGGAAGACAAUGAAGAAUCCACCAGAUGAAAAUUAUACUUCAUUCUUGUUAUAUAUCUAUGAAAGAAGGAGGGCGUACUAGGUGGCAACGGGACGCCGUGCGUUCGGGACCUGCAUCUUAUUUUCGUUCCGAAGAGAGAAAAAUAUCGAGAGCAUGGUAGGCGUACGUCUUGUCCGGCCUCUCCAGACGCUGUUAUGUAUACAACUCACAACCACCGCUCCGCCACAUUUGGAGCCUCCUCAAUUGAAACCAACCCUAGCGCGUAUCCGCGUAAAUACAUAACAAUUUCAAGGGGCAUUUCUGUAUGCCGAUGUUCCGUAGACGAUAACGGCCAGGUAUACUUUUCGUCAAAGCA